GUCUCGGUGGCGCAAUGGUAGCGCGUUGGACUUCUACUAUUGUUGAAAAUAAACGGGGAUGAGCUUGUUUGUUUGCUUGGUGAUCCAAAGGCUGCGGGUUCGAGCCCCGCCCGAGAUG
rnacentral:tRNA from 1 species